rnacentral:rRNA from 1 species
UACGAAGGGGGCGAGCGUUGUUCGGAAUUACUGGGCGUAAAGGGCGCGCAGGCGGCUCUGAAAGUCAGAUGUGAAAGCCCCGGGCUUAACCUGGGAAUUGCAUUUGAUACUCGUGGAGCUUGAGUACGGGAGAGGAGAGUGGAAUUCCCAGUGUAGAAGGUGAAAUUCGUAGAUAUUGGGAAGAACACCGGUGGCGAAGGCGGCUCUCUGGACCGUAACUGACGCUGAGGCGGCGAAAAGCGGUGGGGAGCAAACAGG